rnacentral:rRNA from 1 species
UGGGGAAUAUUGCACAAUGGGCGCAAGCCUGAUGCAGCCAUGCCGCGUGUAUGAAGAAGGCCUUCGGGUUGUAAAGUACUUUCAGUCGGGAGGAAGGUGGUAAGGUUAAUAACCUUGGCAAUUGACGUUACCGACAGAAGAAGCACCGGCUAACUCCGUGCCAGCAGCCGCGGUAAUACGGAGGGUGCAAGCGUUAAUCGGAAUUACUGGGCGUAAAGCGCACGCAGGCGGUUUGUUAAGUCAGAUGUGAAAUCCCCGGGCUCAACCCGGGAACUGCAUCUGAUACUGGCAAGCUUGAGUCUCGUAGAGGGGGGUAGAAUUCCAGGUGUAGCGGUGAAAUGCGUAGAGAUCUGGAGGAAUACCGGUGGCGAAGGCGGCCCCCUGGACGAAGACUGACGCUCAGGUGCGAAAGCGUGGGGAGCAAACAGG